rnacentral:rRNA from 1 species
UUCCUACGGGAGGCAGCAGUAAGGAAUAUUGGGCAAUGGACGCAAGUCUGACCCAGCCAUGCCGCGUGCAGGAUGACAGCCUUAUGGGUUGUAAACUGCUUUUAUCAGGGAAUAACCCCCCGUACGUGUACGGGGCUGAAUGUACCUGAAGAAUAAGCAUCGGCUAACUCCGUGCCAGCAGCCGCGGUAAUACGGAGGAUGCAAGCGUUAUCCGGAUUUAUUGGGUUUAAAGGGUGCGCAGGCGGAUAAGUAAGUCAGUGGUGAAAUCUCUCGGCUCAACCGAGAAACUGCCAUUGAUACUGUUUAUCUUGAGUGUAAAUGAAGUGGGCGGAAUGUAGCAUGUAGCGGUGAAAUGCAUAGAUAUGCUACAGAACACCAAUUGCGAAGGCAGCUCACUAAAUUACAACUGACGCUCAUGCACGAAAGCGUGGGGAUCAAACAGGAUUAGAUACCCUGGUAGUCCACGCWGUARACGAUGAUUACUCGUUGUUGGCGAUACACAGUCAGCGACCAAGCGAAAGUGAUAAGUAAU